CGGUUAAGUUAGAAAGGGCGCACGGUGGAUGCCUUGGCACUAGGAGCCGAUGAAGGACGGGACUAACACCGAUAUGCUUCGGGGAGCUGUAAGUAAGCUUUGAUCCGGAGAUUUCCGAAUGGGGAAACCCACUGUUCGUAAUGGAACAGUAUCUUUACCUGAAUACAUAGGGUACUGAAGGCAGACCCGGGGAACUGAAACAUCUAAGUACCCGGAGGAAGAGAAAG
rnacentral:rRNA from 1 species